GUGGGGAAUAUUGGACAAUGGGGGGAACCCUGAUCCAGCCAUGCCGCGUGUGUGAAGAAGGCCUUUUGGUUGUAAAGCACUUUAAGCGAGGAGGAGGCUACCGAGAUUAAUACUCUUGGAUAGUGGACGUUACUCGCAGAAUAAGCACCGGCUAACUCUGUGCCAGCAGCCGCGGUAAUACAGAGGGUGCAAGCGUUAAUCGGAUUUACUGGGCGUAAAGCGCGCGUAGGUGGCCAAUUAAGUCAAAUGUGAAAUCCCCGAGCUUAACUUGGGAAUUGCAUUCGAUACUGGUUGGCUAGAGUAUGGGAGAGGAUGGUAGAAUUCCAGGUGUAGCGGUGAAAUGCGUGGAGAUCUGGAGGAAUACCGAUGGCGAAGGCAGCCAUCUGGCCUAAUACUGACACUGAGGUGCGAAAGCAUGGGGAGCAAACAGGAUUAGAAACCCUAGUAGUCC
rnacentral:rRNA from 1 species